UGUAUCUGACUUGAUUAUCAGACCAGGAA
rnacentral:piRNA from 1 species